AUGUAUACAAAGUACGUUGGUAGGUCGUGCCCUGGCCUCCACUACGUGCUGCAUUUUCUUUCAGCAAAGUGUCACCGCUAUUCAGCUAGCACUAGCUUAGCCCAGUACCCACCCAACACAUUAAGCGGUCCUCUUCCUGCUCCAACAACGCCACACAUCCCCGUCCAUUUCGAUAAGGAUCCCAGAGCUCCAGCUCCUCCUGUGUCGCCUCCAAUGGCGGCUGCCGCUGCUUCCACAGGGAACGGGAGCCCGCCGGUGGGUCUGCUGGUGCUGAUGGUGCUGGCAUUGGCGGCCGGGUGGUUCGCGAACGCCGUCCGCCCGCCGCCGCCGACGCCGUGCGGGGCGCCGGGCGGGCCGCCGGUGACGGCGCCGAGGGCGCGGAUGCGCGACGGGCGGUUCUUGGCGUACGCCGAGUCCGGCGUGGGCCGGGACGGCGCGCGGUUCAAGGUCGUCUACUCGCACGGCUUCUCCGGCAGCCGCAUGGACUCGCCCCGCGCCUCGCAGGCGCUGCUGGAGGAGCUGGGCGUGUACAUGGUGGCGUUCGACCGCGCCGGCUACGGCGAGAGCGACCCGGACCCGCGCCGGUCGCUGGAGAGCGCGGCGCAGGACAUCCAGGACCUCGCCGACGCGCUCGACCUCGGCGACAAGUUCCACCUCAUCUGCUCCUCCCUCGGCUGCCACGCCGGCUGGGCCUCCGUCAAGUACAUCCCACACAGGCUGGCCGGAGUGGCGAUGAUGGCGCCGGUGAUAAACUACCGGUGGUCGGGGCUGCCGAGGGGGCUGGCACGGCAGCUGUACCGGCGCCAGCCGCUGGGCGACCAGUGGUCGCUCCGCGUUGCCUACUAUGCGCCGUGGCUGCUGCACUGGUGGAUGAGCCAGACAUGGCUGCCCACCUCCACCGUCGUCAGCGGCUCCGGUUCCUUCCCCAACGCCCUCGACGAGAAGAACCGCCUCAUGGCCCUCUCCACUGGAAUGUUCCAAAAGAGGGCACAGGCGGCCACGCAGCAGGGGGUGCAGGAGUCCUUCUACCGCGACAUGGCGGUGAUGUUCGGGCGGUGGCCGGAGUUCGAGCCGACGGACCUCGGGGAGGCGCCGCCGUUCCCGGUGCACCUCUUCCAGGGCGACGAGGACGGCGUCGUGCCGGUGCAGCUGCAGCGGCACAUAUGCCGCCGGCUCGGCUGGGUCAGCUACCACGAGCUCGCCAGGGUGGGGCACUUCCUGUCGGCGGUGCCGGGGCUCGGAGACAGGAUCAUCGGCACCUUAUUGCCAGGGCCGGCGGGUAACAGCUCGACCGCCGCCGGCAGCGUCUGUGCGUACUGA
rnacentral:rRNA from 1 species